rnacentral:rRNA from 1 species
AGAGGUAAACGGGUGGAUCUGCAAAGUCGGCUCGCGGAACUCAGCUCGGCGCGCGGCUCGGUGCUGUCGUCUUUCGGGACCUUCGGGCCCGGGGGCGGCGCAUCGCCGGGCUCCGCCGUGUGCACUUUCCGCGGGCAGAGCGCCCCGACCGGCGUCGCGGCGGCCACAAGCCUCUGGGUAAGGUAGGUCUGAGGUUCUGCCUCGGACUGUUAUAGACCCGGGUGGCCGGCCGCUGCGGAGCCGAGGAACGACCGCGUCGGCCUUUGCGGCUACCUCUCCUUCUCUGGGAGUCGACAGCGGGGACUGGGCAACCGUCCCGCGACCGCUCCCGGAGACCGGUGGGCUAGCCUGGCCUGCGCUCAGGGUCAGUGCA